rnacentral:rRNA from 1 species
GGAGUUAGCCGGUGCUUCUUCUGUGAGUGAUGUCCUUCCUGCCGGCUAUUAACCCGCAGGCCUUCUUCCUCACUGAAAGUGCUUUACAACCCGAAGGCCUUCUUCACACACGCGGCAUGGCUGGAUCAGGGUUGCCCCCAUUGUCCAAUAUUCCCCACUGCUGCCUCCCGUAGGAGUCUGGGCCGUGUCUCAGUCCCAGUGUGGCUGAUCAUCCUCUCAGACCAGCUACGGAUCGUCGCCUUGGUGAGCCGUUACCUCACCAACCAGCUAAUCCGACAUAGGCUCAUCCGAUAGCGCGAGGCCCGAAGGUCCCCCGCUUUCCCCCGUAGGGCGUAUGCGGUAUUAGCCUGGGUUUCCCCAGGUUAUCCCCCACUACCGGGCAGAUUCCUAUGCAUUACUCACCCGUCCGCCGCUCGCCACCAGGGAGCAAGCUCCCCGUGCUGCCGCUCGACUUGCAUGUGUAGCGUCGCCGCCAGCGUCAUCUGAGCCAUGAUACAACUACUCGA